UGUGUGUGAGAGUGUGUGUGUCUGUCUGCGUCAGUCAGGGGCUGAGGGAGAGAGCAGGGAAGGGAGGCCAGGAAAGAGAGAGAGAGAGAGAAAGUGAGAGAGAAAGAGGGAAAAGAGAGAGCUAGGUUAAUACUGUUUUAACGAGAUCGUAGUGCUGUCGGCAGGGCUGGGUUCUCUGUGCUUGCGGCUGUGGUGUCUCCAGUGUGCUGGGAAAGCACCUUUAGCCCAGAGGGACUCUCAUACUGCCGGUGUGUGUGUGUGUGUGUGUUCCUGUGCCGGCUACAGCUCUGCUGCUGUCACUUUAAGCCUGUUACUGAUUACACUCAGAAGAAUGCAACCGGAGGAGAAAAAAAAGACAGAGAGAGAGAGAGAAGCAGAAAGGGAGAGACAUGUAAGGACGGAUUCUAUUUGUGUUGAGUUUAGCGGAGUUUGGUCGAGUUUUGGUUUCAGAGCAUGGGACUGUGACGUUGCUAAGGAGUUAAAGAGCUGUUGCCCAACUGUCUCUGUCUCUCUCUCUCUCUCUCUCUGGCUCCUGGGAAAAGGGAGAGGGAGAAAGAGGGAGAGAAGGAGACCCGAAUCAUCAGAAAGAGAGAGGGGGGUCAAAGUUGGAAUGAAGACAAGAGAGGGAGAGCCGAAAACAGGCAGAGACAGAGGAAGAGAGAGACCAAAGUGAGGAGCAGAAAACUGAAAUAGAGACUGUGAGACACGGCGUGAAAGAGAAACAAGAGAGGAGAAGAAGAGAAAAGGGGGGGGGGGGACCCCUGAUUCCAAACCCAGUAUCGGGAGGAAGUGGAGCUCUCACCAAGAAGGGAUGAACCCGCGGAGGACUGUCUGUGGGGGGAAGCUCCGACCAGCUGGCGACGUCUCUACGUCUCUACGUCUCCACGCUGCCUCCGUUCUCCACGGCGAUCCGCACGGCUCAGUCCGCGGAUGUUGCCGGUGGCAGACCCCGUCCAGCUGCUCCACUGGUCUGACCGGGCAGUCACGAAGACCCCAUGCAGACUGACGCUAUGAGGAUCGCCUGUAUGUAACACACGCACGCAGUCUAUGGGUGUUGUCAGUUGCUCAGUAGGCAGUGUAGAUCCUGUCUUCCAAUCAGAAGCUACAUCUGGCUACUGGGUCUCUGAAGGCACAGCCCACUUCCUUGCUGCACAUUCCUUUCCCCUACAAUUGGCUGCUGGCACAUUCCAUAGCCCUGUGAUUGGCUGCUGGCACAUUCCAUAGUCCUGUGAUUGGGUGGCAUGUCACGGGGUCUCCAUCCUGUGACCCCACAGCACAGGAUGCUCUCUGUGUCACAACUCCACAACGAAGCCUUGUCACAGCUUUCUCUUUCUUUGUCUCUUUCCUCCAUUUCAGUUUGCCCAAUUAUGCUCUUUUCUCUCUUCCAUUCUGAGCUGGUAUCGAUCUGAGACCCUCCAACACUGAGUGAAACACGUCGACAGACAUCUGGAGCACAAUAUAGUGAAAACUGUGACAAUGAGGGGCCGGCACAGUAGAAAGAACUGUUCUUACAACAGGCAGCGGGAUGUAUCCUGUCCAUGGUUGAAAGAAAGAGAGAGAGAGAGAGAGAGAGAGAGAGAGAGGGAGAGAGAGAGAGAGGGAGAGAGAAAUAAAAUGUGUGCGUGAGAGGCAAUUCUAAGAACAUGAGAUUUGCUAGGUCCUGAACCUGGCAUACAAUGUAGAUUUCUGUGUGGUUUAAGCUACAGCUACAUUGUCUGCUGGGUUUCAGGCUGGCAAGAAAAGCAUCACUCAGUAAGCCAGGGAUUCAGCAAGGUAAGUUCUCAAUCAUGCCGCUAUUGUGUAUCAAACUUACCUUGGAUUUGCAAUAAAAAAUGUAAUAUGAUUGCAAGUCUAUGACUCAUUUCUGCAUCUGAACAUGAAACCCAGUUAUACUGUUAAUUUUUUUAUAUAUUUUUUCGAAAGCAGCAGGUAGGUAGCAGCGGGUAAUAGAAGUCUUUGUUAGUUUCAAACAGAAUCAAUGCUAACCAAAUGAACCCAACCCACAAAAAAAGUC